CCACGAUCGUGCCGUCCUACAAAUCUGUCAGCAUCUCCUCCUCCUCGUCUGAUGCUGGACUUCGUGGUUCAUCGGAACCACACGCUUGCCUUCUUCUCCGAGUUGUUCUUUCCCUACCCGCUUCUGCCAAUCAGUGAUGGCGAGUAGACUGUGGAAGAUGUAUGCCGACCGGCAGUUCUACAAAUGGGAAAAGACAGUCCUUUGGGAUCUGAUCGAGCCAUAUAGGCGUCCCAAAUCCUUCACCCCUCUUAUCUCGAUCUAUGUUGCUGCCUUCUACACAGGGGUUAUCGGAUCCGCCAUUACCGAGCAGCUUUAUAAGGAAAAAUACUGGGAAGAACAUCCAGGUGAAGCGGUGCCUAUCAUGAGGCCAAAAUUCUAUUGGGGCCCCUGGAAAGUGUAUCAAGGAGGGGAACUUCCUCCAAAUAUGUGAACUUAAUAGUUUCUUGGAUCGUCUUGUUAUUUGGAGUAGAUGGACGCUGCAAGCUGAUUGUGGUUGCAGAUUGGCGUGAUAAUGGUCUUCACUGGUACAAAAGUUCAACUAGAUUUAUCUUGUAUUGUUCAUUUCACAUUUAUGUUUGUGUAUGUACACAUUAAUAGGACUAACUUUAGGACUUCAACAUGAACCUGAAGACCCCGAGAAUCCAAGUACUAUAUUUGUCUUGUGUGAUAGUUUUAGAUACGAUCAUUAUUUUUGAUUUGAUAUGAAAUUCAAUCUAUGAUGAAGAACCUGUUUGGUGUA